rnacentral:tRNA from 1 species
GGUUCCAUAGUGUAGCAGUUAGCAUGUCUGCUUUACAUGCAGAAGGUCCUGGGUUUGUGCCCCCAUGGAGCUA